rfam:Gossypium raimondii Chr01_contig_106, whole genome shotgun sequence.
UAUUAAAAUUUCCAUCUAUAUCUAUUGUUAAAAACUGGUUUAGGUAGGUGGAACUGUCUAAUUAUUCCGUUAGCGAGCUAGUUUUUAAAAGUAGAAAUGGAUGAAAUUUUUAAUA